AUAUCUCUCUGUACGGGAAGGAUGAGAAGCUUCGACUAAGGUUCGAUUCGAGCGCAGCGAGAAAGCGUUGCCGCAGGCAACGACCCGAAGGGCGAAGCGCGCAGCGCUGAGUCAUCCUUC
rnacentral:sRNA from 2 species